rnacentral:rRNA from 1 species
UGAUGAUGGCCUUAGGGUCGUAAAGCUCUUUCGGCAGAGAUGAUAAUGACAGUAUCUGGUAAAGAAACCCCGGCUAACUCCGUGCCAGCAGCCGCGGUAAUACGGAGGGGGUUAGCGUUGUUCGGAAUUACUGGGCGUAAAGCGUACGUAGGCGGAUCAGAAAGUAUGGGGUGAAAUCCCGAGGCUCAACCUCGGAACUGCCUCCUAAACUCCUGGUCUUGAGUUCGAGAGAGGUGAGUGGAAUUCCAGUGUAGAGGUGAAAUUCGUAGAUAUUYGGAGGAACACCAGUGGCGAAGGCGGCUCACUGGCUCGAUACUGACGCUGAGGUACGAAAGUGUGGGGAGCAAACAGGAUUAGAUACCCUGGUAGUCCACACCGUAAACGAUGAAUGCCAGUCGUCGGGUAGCAUGCUGUUCGGUGACACACCUAACGGAUUAAGCAUUCCGCCUGGGGAGUACGGUCGCAAGAUUAAAACUCAAAGGGAAUUGACG